GACGAACGCUGGCGGCGUGCUUAACACAUGCAAGUCAAACGGAGUGGCGAACGGGUGAGUAAUACGUGAGGAACCUGCCCUCCUUUUGGGGAUAAGCCUUGGAAACGGGGUCUAAUACCGAAUAAAGGGGGAUGGGCGCGCUGCCUAUCAGCUGGUGGGGGGGGUGAUGGCCUACCAAGGCGGUGACGGGUAGCAGGCCUGAGAGGGUGACAUGGUACAUGAGGACUGGGAUACAGGCCAGAAUGCUGCUGGAGGGAGCAGUGUGGGAUAUUGCACAAUGGGCGAACGCCUGCUGCAGCGACGCAGGGUGGGGGAUGAAGGCUUUCGGGUUUCAAACCUCUGUCGCUAUCGAACGGGUAGGUGGAGAAGAAGCGCCGGCUAACUACGUGCCAGCAGCCGCGGUAAUUC
rnacentral:rRNA from 1 species